rnacentral:hammerhead_ribozyme from 1 species
AUCCAACUGACGAAUCCUAAAUGGGACGAAACACAAAUCCUGGAU